AACAGCUAUUUUACCCUAUGUAAUCUCUGAAGCAGGACCACGCUAUUUGGGUACCAUGGCAACUCUCCUGAGAAAACUGUUUCCACAGAUUUGGAACCCAUGGAUACAGAGAGUUGACUGAAUUUAAGAGAACCACAAGAGCUAUAAACAGCAACUUUCUUCUUCUUAGAAGAAAUAUUCUGAAGAAACUAGAACAUGAAACAGACCCAGAAGUAUUCACCAUUUCAAUGGUAACCAGAAACAGCAGUACAAAAUAUGUGGGAAACCGAAGACAAUGCAACAUGAAAAAACAAACAAAACGGAAUGUAAUCCGAAAACAAUUACUGAAUAGAUGAAUGCCAUGUUUUCCUUGCAAAGUAAUGAGAUUUGAUGUUUACUCAUGUGGAUAAUCCAGCACUACACAGACACAAACCCACCAGGCAGUAUGAAAGUAAAUGUCACUGUUGAAGUGCCCCAGCUCCCAAGUGAACUUUUAGCAGCAGCAAGAGUGACGGCAGCAGCAAGAGUGACAGCAGCAGCAGGAACUCAUAGGAACCCAGAACACUGAAAGAGGCAGAUCUCUGAUCAGAGUCACUGUGGUCCCAGGAGGAUGAGGUGAAACCAUCCUGCCUUUCUCUUUUUUCUGACAAAUGCUUACCCCCGUCACCUCCACCCUCCCCCAAGGUAAAGGCAUUUGACAUGGAUAAGUUCUGAGUUAGUCAAACACAACAGCCUUGCAAAUGGUCUUCCAGGGACUCACAAGAGAGAUCAAAUAAUAAUUCUCUGGAAUCAAGGCUUUGAACAAGCUGGAGUUGAGUUCUGCCCCCCUGCACUGCUUCCAGGCUGCUAGUUUUCACCAUAGCUGUUGGCAAUUCGUUUUUGAGGCUCCUGUUAAAACUGAAAGCAAGAGAUGGAACUUGAGGUACUGAAAGCACGACCGAUGCUCACUGGUUUUCUCCUGCUGCCAUCACUUUUCUUGAUUAAAUACUCUCUAGAUUGUUGCAAGACUUUAGUUAACUUCUAAAGUUCUGAUAAAAUCAAC
ensembl:lncRNA